GACCUGUCAAUCAGUGUGUAGCCCCGCCUCUGAAGCAUCGUGUGGUCUGUUUGGCUCUAAAUGGACCAUAAGCUGCUAAAUGUCAUCGACACACAACAGUGUCAACAGGAUUAUAAUUACUGUCAUUAUUAUUAUGGAGGUAGUCGACAGUUAUUGGGUGAAAAAGAUGUUGAAACGGACAAAGCAGAAUAGAUGAGUGAAUAAAUCAAGCUGGACGCGAUGAUCAUUUAUCCGCCGCCUUAAAUGACUUUCAUGUUGAUGGUUUAGUAUUUAAUGGGAUGCAAGUGGUUUCCAGAUAGAUUAUCUUUGUGUUUUCUGGGUCAUGCACUCAUUUAACAGCAUUAACACCGGCACAUAAGGAAUGAGUUAUUAUUCAGCCAGCUACGGACACUAAACAAAGGGUUGUACGCCGAUCAACCUCCUCGCUGUAAACGGAGGUAUUAUCUAAAGGAGACAUUCGGAGCCUCGUAUGACAAUUAGGGGACAUUCAAGAAAGAAAUUGCAGAUGAUGGUAACGUUUAUUUAUCGACGUGGGGACGACUGAAUGCAAUUUACUACUUUAUCAUUUUAAAUGGAUUCUACAGUGCAGAUGCAUGUAAAAAGCCACUUUGGAAGAUCUCGUCCAGGAUCCUGAGGACAGGAGACAAUCGGGCUCCAUAGUAGCCGCAAAGUUCCCUUACUUAUAUUAAUCUAUUGUCAUUCAUUCAUUUGAAUUACUGCCUUUUAAAUGCUGAGUCUCCUGUUAAUUAUAUGUGAACAUCGCCCCCCCGUCCCGCAUCAUGACAUCAUCAUGACAUCACUGUUACCGCUACCAAAGCCCCUGUCGGCUGCUUUGUUACAGCCGUGUGAACCCAAAGUAAAGAGACGCUGAAACGACAACCGGCGAUGUGUGAGAGUCGGACGUCAGCGCUGUAGCCGCUCCGUCAACCCUGGGAGUAAGGUGACGUGGGCGUGAAUGUUACCGGUUUGUCCCGCGCUACGCACAUCAACACACACAGCCCUCAUCUGCUGCCACACAGCAGACGGAAGACACAUCAGAUUUCAGUCAAAAGAGACGGAAACGAGAAGACGACAAAAGAAGCUCGGAGACGAUCGCACAGAAACAGGGAGGGAAAUAUCGACUGUGUCCCAACCGUCCCAAUGACAGCUCGUCUUCGUCCCUCCUCAUACACCCCCCCACACACACACAACGCCCUACGAGCGUUGGCCACGGGAGGGAUGGGGGGGGUCAGAGGGCAACGUGGACGUGACGUGAGGAAGAGACGAAGAGCGAGGGAGGCGUUGGAUGAUGAUGGAGGGGGGGGGGGCUGCGUGGGGCAGAUACCUGGUGAGUAACGGCGGCCUGAAGCUAAAUAACUCCUCGCUAGAACUACGCAGGAGGAUCCUCGCUGUGUGUUUGUGUUACAGGAGCAUAUACACAACACACUGUGUAUAUGCAGAGAGCACCAUGGAGAGGUUAAGUGAAGAAGAGGAGGAUGCUAAACAACUGUGAGGAGAUGAAGAGGCAUCCAAAGGAGGGGGGGGGGGGGUCAAAGCAUCCAACAAACAUGGAGACAGGAAGCAGAAAGAGCGCAGCAAUCAAUGAGAAGAAGGGGGAGAAGGCGGGACCAGGAGACCAGUGGAGGAGAGUGAAGGUCCACCUGAAGGUCUCGAUGUGUCCGUCCUGAGCUCUGAGUCACACGACUCAGCAGCAGGUCUGAGCGUCACCGGUUCAACGGGCGGCAGCCCAAAUACACAAAUACUAAUAACAAACAGCACGGAUACGCCGUCGGCGCGCCGUUGUCAUAGAAACAGGAAGUGACGGGAGCUCCCGGCGCCCUGCGGCCGCUCCUCCGCCCGUAGACCUUCCUUCGCUGAGCCAGGAAGUCAAAGAAAGGAGGCCAGGAAGAAGGUGAGAAGAGGUGGGAAGCCCGUUGGGGGGGCGGGGGGCAAUUAGUAAGGAAGGGAAGUGACUCUCUCCCUCGGGUUGGUUGAACGUUGGAUGUGAGGCUCUGUGUUCUGUUAAAUAGGCGACGCCGCGCAAAGAGAGCAGUGUAGAUGAACGCACACAAACCCACUCACAUGCAGCACUGUGAUCGGCUCUGUCGAGACUUUGCACCCCCAACGCUCACAUGUCGGCAACAUGCAACGCACACAAACCCCGGUUUUACGUAAGUGUGUCGCACACCCACUCGCUGGGAGUUGACGCCGUGCAGAGCAUGGAGGUGAAGGGGGGGGGGUUCAUUUCCUCUCGUUUUCAACCAGCGGGGCUGAAUGCCGAUGUCGAUGCUGAAUGCGUGGAACGAGAACAACAUCAACGCGAGAAACAACAUCCAGCUGCAUCGCUGGAACUGGAAUCGGGAGGCGUAAUGAAGUGAGAGAGGCAGAUGUAACCAGCAGGCUGUGGCUCCAGUGCGUUGAAGCUGCAUUCUCUGUACCGUCCACUAGGGGGCGACUCCUCCGCUCCGACACAGGCCUGUAAAACAACAUGGCCACGGCCGUAACACCAAGAGGCCGAUGGAGGACUGUUGCAAUUCACCCAACUGAAGGGCACAGGUUGCAAAAGUCCUACUUAUUCAUUCUAAGUGUAGCUCCACUGGUGUGGAGGCAGAUUUCACGGCCUCGCAGCAGGAAGCUUCUUCCUCGUGUGCAUUUGUUCGUGUUUUCCUUUUGGAAUUAAGAGGUUUCCUGGGCGGCGGAAGUGUUGGUUUCCAUUAACUGUCUGGGGCCUUUAAAAUCGCCUUGAGGCGUCAAACCAGCGUGUUUGAUGCAGGCGGGUCGCAGGCUGCCGGAGCGCCGUCUGGCACUCACGGCGCUCUCUUCAGCUUGAUGGCGGUUGCGUCAUCCGCUCUGUGUCGCGUCUCCUUCCAGCUGCAGCCGAGCCUCCACCGCUGACUGAGGGAAGUCAUUUAGCAGUAUAGUGCUGUAGUAUUACUGUGCAAACUCUACAAUGUCAAAUAUUUUUCACUACACAUUUGCUGUAAAUUACUGUGACUCGGUAGAAGCUUAAUACUACGGUAAUACUUAAAAAGCAUGAAAUACUUUUUCUGUGAGGAGUCACUCAAAAUAGAUUUUCUAAAUGCUUCUUGACAUAGAAUGUAACUUAGACGUCACAUGACAUCGCGUCCGGCAGCUUUAUAUCUCUUUUUAUCGGACACGUCUGAGUGAGGAGAUGUAAUGACAGACUGACAGACUUCCGUUACGUCCAGUAAGUAGUUGAAUUAAAUAGUAAUAAUUCUUCCUUUGCCCCAAACUAACUGGAUGUAAUAAUCAUUUAAGCUCACGGUUCAUAUCCGACCUUUAGAGGUCAUCAGCCCUCCAUCAUCAGUCCUUCUCUAGAAGUCAUCAGUCCUCCUGUAGAGGUCAUCAGUCCUCCUGUAGAGGUCAUCAGUCCUUCUCUAGAGGUCAUCAGACCUCCUGUAGAGGUUAUCCGGAGUCAGUGAUAGACUCCCUGCUGUGAGUCAUUCUUUGUAAAAAGGUUCAGAGCUUUACAGAGACAUGAAUCUGAAAAGCCCGGCGACAAACUGAAUGAACAGAGAAAAGCCUGAGGCAAUAAAGAGACUAAGGAGGAACAGAAGGAACCGAUAAGAGACACUGGAGAGUACGACAAAUAUCAGGUUUGAUUUGUAGUUCAGUGCCUAAUAUCAGCUUCAAUCUUCCAUCUGUAACGAGUGAAUAUCCUCUUUGGCCACAGGUUGAGAAUAAAGCCUUGGGAUGAAUUCAGGUAUCAGUGAUGAUACCAAUGUUCUCGAGGUGGAGAUUCCUUUUAGCUCCGGCUUUGGUCCCCACCGACUCCCAGCGACCGCGAGCAGAAGCCUGCGAAGCUCAGCCGAGUCGAGAGCAGCUGCAGAUUUGGUGAUCAAUUAUUUUCAGACAUUUUGUAGAUCGUUAUUAAGUGUAAGUAGUGCGAGUAGUGAGCCAUUACGCUCAAUUUGAUUUCUGAUCCGCUCCCUGGCCGAGUUCAUCUGUGGCCCUUUGUCUGUUUCUCUUUCAUUUACUCGCCCUUCAGAAGAACCGCCUUCUUUUUGCAACCGUCCACCUAAAAAGUGAGUUACUACAAGUCAUCCAUCCCCAAAAUGGGUCUCAAUCUUUCGUUUUGAUGCUUCAGGGCGGGGCUACACGAUGAUUGACAGGUCGACAACACAGACGUACAUAAUUCUCAAUCCUUAAAUGGUGACGUCCUCCUCACUUUUAUAAGAAAAGCAUCACGGACAAAUCAUUUAGGUGAAGAGUGAGAACUCCAGCGCGUGUUUAUUUACUGAAAACUACAGUAUUUCAGAUGGAAUUCAUCUGUAACUUGAUCACAACACGGUUUCCAGCUGUGAUGUAAUCACGCUGCUUCGCUUCAUCAGAACUCGACAACGGGAGAGAAAACUCCCUAAAUGGCAACUGGAGUAUUGUUUGUACAGUCGACAAUAAUACAUGCGAGUACUUGUUUAUGCCUUUAAUCACAUUUAUUAAAUCAUCUCCGUGGCUGAUUAUUUUUAGAGCAGUUUCUGGCGACGUUUGGUUCCUUUUGGACGACGCUGGAGAUAAAAUGUAGUUUCAUUUGCCAGCGCGCGAUGAGAGGAGGUGGAGGGAAGGAACAGAUGGAGGUUACUGGAAGAAGAAACCAACAAUAAUGUUUACAAAAGAGAAGGAAGCGAAACACCGGACGGAAUCUGCUCCGCGGCGUAACUUCUCUCCUGAAACCGUCGUUUAUUGAUGAGGCUUUGGGGACGUUUGUCAGAAGGCGAAUCAGCCGACGAGAGAUGAGAUGAGAUGAGAUGAGAUGAGAUGCGAUGUCCCCCCCUUGGAUACAUGGAGACAUGUGGAGGUUUUAUGUAUUCAACUUUUAGAUCCCCGAUCAGGUCUUUUCGCUAUGAAUUGCUGAUCAAUAUUGACGGAUACAGAUCUGUGGUUUCUUUAUAGCAGCUGGUCUACGAGGGUCAACAAUGUUCAUUUUCACCGUCGCCGAAGUCAAACUUCCUUCCUGCCUUCAAAAGAAACACACAAUUCAAAAGAUAAUGAAAUAAAUAACUGUUUCUUGAGUGAAACGAAUCGUUUCUUCAUAACGUGUCAUGAGCUGCGUUCACGCCGUUAAACCACACGGCGCAGAAUAAACACCGACAUUCACGGAACCGUCGUUCCGUCACGCCGACUGGGCUUCAGGGGAAGAAAGUCCUAUUUCCCUUUGUGGCCGCGCUCGUGAAAGCGCCCGCCGGGACGGGCCGCGCAGCCCCGCCGUCCCGUUUCUAGACCACGGCGGUGGUCUUCCAGCCGCUGCAGGGGGACGGUUCCUCUGACCGGACAGCUUCGUGGUCCAGGAGCAGAAGUGACCGGGAACAAAAUAGACUAUGAGGGACACAAAUGACACGAAACCGAUAAAAACAACAACGCAAAAUGAAACCGAAGCUUCAGGCGGUGAGACUCCAACAAGCGGAGUGUCUCUACUGUCCGGUGCCUCCUUCCCUUCGCCGCUGCCUCGUUUCCUCUGUCCUAGCUCGCUGCUUUGCUUCAAUUAUCAGCCGCCAGGUGUGGACACACACACACACACACACACACACAUUCCCUCAAACUGAAGUGGGAGCGGAAAACAAUGGCGGCGAUAUUGCAGGCUGGUGGCGAACGAGAACGUGGGCGAGCGAGGAUUAAUUACAGAUAUGAGAGAGAGAACAUGUGAGAGGAUGGGGGGGGGUGGGGGGGGAUGUGAUAUUUGGGAAGCCGCCUGCGUGAUGGUCACUCAGAGGACGCAGUCGUGCUGAUUAAACGUGAACAACACAACGAGUCGACGGCUGGAAGUGGUUCUUCAAGUUAAAUUCUCAUUUCAGACUCUAACAGGAGAAGAUUCAUCUAGAAAAGGACCUGCAGAUGAAAGUCUCACAUGAAGACAGGUUAGAAAUCCCUAAACAAAAGCGUGUGGCCUCAAUGUUUAGUUUAAGUCCUCUUCAACACAGUGGAACGCCCAUUUUAGUGGAUUUAAUGUGCUUUGGGGGCGGGGCUACAGCGUGAUUGACAGGUCUCUACUCCAUCAGGAAAAGUCACACUAGCCAAAUGUGUCGAAGAGAUGGAAAUCAAUGAAGAUCCACCAGGUCACUUCUGUGAGUCGCCGAGACGUUGAGUUGUGUUUGGUUUUCGUUGCGUUGCGUCGUGUUUUUGUCGCGUUGUGUUACAGUUGCGUUGCAUCAGAUGGAAGAAAACCUCUACGACUACGCAGUGAGGCAACAUGUGUGAAUGCAUGAGACACGUCAUUGACCAGUGAUCCACACACACACACACACACAAUCAAUAGAGCUGAUUAAGCAGCUGGGCAGAGACAAAUAGUCCAUUACGUGUGUGUGUGUGUGUGUGUGUGUGUGUGUUUAUCGUUUGUUUGUCAUUGUUUACAUGUUACAUGCGUGUGUGUGUGUGUGCCGGGGGCCUCGGUUCGGAGGACGUGUUGAUCCCAGCGAGUCUCGCGUGGACGAGAGGAAGAAACUCACAGUCCAGAGACAACGACGCAAGAAAGGUGGAAAAACUAAAAGCUUUAUUUUGUCUGCUGCGCCUGAAUAAAUCAUCUGCUCGGAGUUCACCAAUGACUGAUGAAUUAGUAACUCAGCGCCCACGUGACCUUUAGCCUGCCGGGGUUUAGGAAGACUUCCUCGGUGGACUCUUCAGAUGCUGUUAGUCAUCAUUAGUAUUACUUGAGCUGACUAAACUGGACCAUGGCACAUCAUUUGGGGAUUUUAUUACUAAAUAAAAGUUUAUUUUAUCGUUUACACACCCUCCAUCUCAACAUAUCGUUCUUCUGGCACCAUUUGCCAUAAAAAUCCAUCUAAAAGAAGCAGAAAUCUGUGAACGAUCCGUCUCUUUUCUUACAGGUGGUCUUUGCAAUGCUGGCAAAUGGAAGCGUCCGGUCUCCACAUCCCUUGUAUUUGGAACUGAUGUUGGAUGAGAGAAGACGGAGCUGAACUCCUGUUCGUCGUGGAGUCAGCAGAUAGUGGCUGUAGUCUUGGAGGUUGACCCCUCCCUGCACGAGCUUGAAGAAGCCCCCCGUCACACUUCCUGACUCCCCUCAGCAGCUCAGCGCCUCUGAGGCCCUCAAACACCUGCUUUAAUACGCUUGUGUAACAGCGCUAAAGGCGACGUUUCCACACACACACACAAAUAUAAGAAACGGGAAUAAAACUCAAUUCUGGAGAAGAAAGACUCAAGUCGUCUCUUAUAGUGCAGAAGGUACCUCGGUACAGCAGAAGAUACCGAGAAGCUCACGCGAACGACAGGAGAUCCUUUGAUUCUCUUCGUCUUGUCUUCAUUUUACACAGCACAGCGUUAACUAAAUAUAGAAAUGAUGUCACACGGUAGAUAAACUAUAUGCUCUCGUGCCGAACGCGGCUCUUCUGUGUCAUGACGCCAGUAAAACCAGACAAACCCGGAGCAUCACGGGUUGACGUGGCAGAAGGACUCAAUUGCAGAUUUCAAUAACAAAAACGGCUUUAUUCCACAAAAUCAAAAGGCCUGGGGGGCAAAACUCACCACACGACACUCGACAUAUGAAGCUCAAUAAACCCACCUGGCCUAAAUACACUGGGACUGUGUGGAAACAAUCGGGGACACGGCAGAUAAUCCCAGGGGACGACGCAGGAAGUGAAGCUCACCCAGGUACGACGACGCAGGGCUACUGAACUACAAAAACACUUCAUAUAUUGUUCAUAGUUUGAAGUCAAAAAGUUUGAAGCUGUAUUUUGAAACCAAGAGUGUUUAUGUAUUCAUUUAUAUUUACAGUAUUGUUUCAAUAGUUAAUAUAUUGCUCAAUUCAAAGAAAGAAAUUACCUUUGCCAAUAAAAGAAAACCUUUCCUUAAUGUCGUCAUUGGUUGAUUCUGUGUCUUU
ensembl:lncRNA